AUAUCUUGUUCAGAACUAGCCAAUAAAGGGAUUGAACCGUGUGGUUUGGACCCGAACUACGUAGUUUAUUAUGAGGAUGUUGUGAAAGUUGUGAAUGACCCCAACAUAUUGCUUGUUGAUGUCCGCACUGUGGAGGAGUUCAGCAGCUUCGUGAAACAUUAGUGAAUAUGUCCGAAGAUGAAUUUAAACAGAGAUACAAUAGAACAAAGCCGACAUUUAGCGACAACAUUAUUGUGUACUGUCAAUCGGGAAGACGAGCUACAACAGCUUUCUAUCAC